rnacentral:rRNA from 1 species
AGUGAACGCUGGCGGCAGGCCUAAUACAUGCAAGUCGAACGGCAGCACAGUGGAGCUUGCUCCAUGGGUGGCGAGUGGCGGACGGGUGAGGAAUACAUGGGAAUCUGCCCAGUCGUGGGGGAUAACGUAUGGAAACGUACGCUAAUACCGCAUGCGCCCUUCGGGGAAAGUCGGGGACCGCAAGGCCUGACGCGAUUGGAUGAGCCCAUGUUCGAUUAGCUAGUUGGCGGGGUAACGGCCCACCAAGGCGACGAUCGAUAGCUGGUCUGAGAGGAUGAUCAGCCACACUGGAACUGAGACACGGUCCAGACUCCUACGGGAGGCAGCAGUAGGGAAUAUUGGACAAUGGGCGCAAGCCUGAUCCAGCCAUGCCGCGUGAGUGAAGAAGGCCCUCGGGUUGUAAAGCUCUUUUGUUGGGGAAGAAAAGCAGUUGGUUAAUACCCGAUUGUUCUGACGGUACCCAAAGAAUAAGCACCGGCUAACUUCGUGCCAGCAGCC